UCAGACGAUGCGUCAUGCAUAUCAAUAAGCGGAGGAAAAGAAACUAACAAGGAUUCCCCUAGUAACGGCGAGUGAAGCGGGAAGAGCUCAAAUUUGAAAUCUUAAAGGGUUUCCCUUUACGAAUUGUAGUUUAAAGAAGUGUUUUCUGUUGAGGUUUUGGUAAAAGUUCUUUGGAAUAGGACAUCAUAGAGGGCUGAGAAUCCCGUAUUUGACCUUUACAUUCAACUUUGUGAUACACUUUCAAAGAGUCGGAUUGUUUGGGAAUGCAGUCCAAAAUGGGUGGUAAAUUUCAUCUAAAGCUAAAUAUUGGCGAGAGACCGAUAGUGAACAAGUACCGUGAGGGAAAGAUGAAAAGAACUUUGAAAAGAGAGUUAAACAGUACGUGAAAUUGUCAAAAGGGAAGCGUUUGACACCAGUGUUGUUUUUCUGAAAAUCAAUUAAAGAACUGUUUAUGCUAAGCUGUUUAGACUUUAUCAGCUAGCUGUUUAGUUUUGAGCUUUUCUUUAAUGCACUUUUCAGUUAACAAGUCAACAUCAAUUUCUUUCGCUAUAAAAAAGCUUGAGGAAGGUGGCUUGAGAUUCGUCUUAAGUGUUUAUAGCCUCUUGCCUAUGCAGUCGGAGAGAUUGAGGUCUGCAGCGUAGAUCCUUCGGGGCUAAAUGCAUUUGUGCUAAGUUAUAGCAUUUUAUAGACAACUUGUUGACUAUGAUUUGUCUUGUAGCUUACUCGCUUAUGUUAUUUUACCUACGCUUAGGAUGUUGAAGAUGUAGCACAUCAU
rnacentral:rRNA from 1 species